CUCAAGGGCCCUUCAAAACCAUUUGAGCCAGUGUCUACUAAGGUCAACUCACAAAAUGAGAUGAGCUGGGCUGGACUGCAGGGACUCAAAUCAGCUAAUAUAACUUCCACCAGAUCUCAGGAUCGAAGGGCAAUGCUCAAUCUCAUGAUGAACCAUGGACAUUUGGUGGAGGUGGACAAACUGCUGGCACGGUCUUGGAUGUAUCUGAUGACAGUAGAUGAGUUGGUCGAGUGCAGCUCUAUCAUCCAAGCAGAGCUCCUGGACAUUCUACAGAUUUUCACCAUGAAAUGCCCAAUUGAUAUAAACUACUUAACAUCCACAAGUGUAGCAGAGAUUCUGGCACACAUUCAAAGUUACUUGCUCGAAAAAAAAUACAGAUGUCCAAAUGAGGAUUAUGGCAUUCAGUGCAUACAAGCAACUUGUAAACUUCUACAAAAGAUCUGCGAUCUAGUUCAUUACUACAGCUAUGGAAACAAUUUCACUGAUAUUCCUGUUGCUUGCAUGAACCUUGUCGCCUCUGUAUCAGGAUUUGCCCAGACAUCACAACAAGCAGACGCUUUUUCUGAGAAGAUACUUGCAUUACUCAAUGAGGCCAAGCAAACUGUCAGAGCAUGGAGCAC
ensembl:lncRNA